CGACGGGUGAGUAACACGUAGGGAACCUGCCAUUGAGUGGGGGAUAGCCCGGGGAAACCCGGAUUAAUACCGCAUAAGCUCACGUACUGGGAUGUAUGUGAGAAAAGGAGCAAUCCGCUCAUUGAUGGUCCUGCGGCCUAUCAGCUUGUUGGUGAGGUAACGGCUCACCAAGGCUUAGACGGGUAGCCGGCCUGAGAGGGUGAACGGCCACACUGGAACUGAGACACGGUCCAG
rnacentral:rRNA from 1 species